GACGAACGCUGGCGGCGUGCCUAAUACAUGCAAGUAGAACGAGUUGCGAACGGGUGAGUAACGCGUGGUAACCUGCCUCAUAGCGGGGGAUAACUACUGGAAACGGUAGCUAAUACCGCAUACCAUCGGAUGUGCCCAGAUGGGGUUGGCUAGUAGGGGGGGUAACGGCUCACCUAGGGGACGAUCCCUAGAUGGUCUGAGAGGAUGACCAGCCACACUGUAACUGAUACACGGUCCAGAUGCCUACGGGAGUCAGCAGUGGGGAAUAUUGCACAAUGGGCGCAAGCCUGAUUCAGCCAUGCCGCGUGUAUGAAGAAGGCCGUCGGGUUGUAAAGUACUUUCAGCGAGUAGGCGUUACUCGCAGAAGAAGCACCGGCUAACUCCGUGCCAGCAGCCGCGGUAAUAC
rnacentral:rRNA from 1 species